rnacentral:lncRNA from 1 species
CUUCCAAUGCCCAAGAAGCUUAGGCGUCCCCUCUUCAUUGCUGAUUUUCAAAUCCUGCUUGCAUCAAGAUCAAGGAAAGGAGACCAAGAAAAGAGAAGAAAAGAAAAAGAUCAAGAAAAGAUCAAGAGUUGAUCACAAGAUCCAGACUUGAUUCAGAUUCACAGGAAGAUUGUUCUCGGAGAAAAAAGAUCUAUAUCAAAGAGGACUGAUCCAG